rnacentral:rRNA from 1 species
CACCUCUUCCCAUUUCGAACAGAGAAGUUAAGCCCAA